ACGGGAGGCAGCAGUGGGGAAUAUUGCACAAUGGGGGAAACCCUGAUGCAGCGACGCCGCGUGAGUGAUGAAGUAUUUCGGUAUGUAAAGCUCUAUCAGCAGGGAAGAAAAUGACGGUACCUGACUAAGAAGCACCGGCUAAAUACGUGCCAGCAGCCGCGGUAAUACGUAUGGUGCAAGCGUUAUCCGGAUUUACUGGGUGUAAAGGGAGCGUAGGCGGCAUGGCAAGCCAGAUGUGAAAGCCCGGGGCCCAACCCCGGAACUGCAUUUGGAACUGUCAGGCUAGAGUACCGGAGAGGUAAGCGGAAUUCCUAGUGUAGCGGUGAAAUGCGUAGAUAUUAGGAGGAACACCAGUGGCGAAGGCGGCUUACUGGACGGUAACUGACGCUGAGGCUCGAAAGCGUGGGGAGCAAACAGGAU
rnacentral:rRNA from 1 species